rnacentral:lncRNA from 1 species
UCUAACAAAGCACUUUAUCAGGGUAGCGAUUCUUCCACUACCAUCAACAUCAGCAGCGGCUCCACCACCACCAACGGCGGCAAUAGCUGGUAAGCUAUUAUGUAGGGAAAUUAGAUUUGAUUUGAGCAGGCCUGUUUUGAUUUCAUCUCUUUUCUUCUUAUUUAUUCAUCGUGAUUUUAACAACUUUUAAAAUAUAUAUAUAUAUAUAAACAACGCCUCCGUAAACAUCUGAAC